GGGGGGGCCUACUCACGGGGGUGUUGGUCAGUGAGGACAUGGUCAUUGUGGUCGGCUUAACGGGAUCCAUUCAAUGAGGGUCAGGUCAUGGAAAAUCUGGUCAGUGGGGUUUGAUCAGCAGGGGACUGCUCAGUGGGGAUCGGACCAGUGGGGCCUGGUCAGCAGGCGGCCGGCAGUUCCUGGGGCCUGGUCAGUGGGGUCCAGCAGUUGGGACCUGGUUGAUUGGAGGGUCCAGCCCUACGGGACUUAGCGGGUGUUCUCCCCGUGUGCAGAGACGAGAGAGCGUAAGAAAUAAAGACACAAGACCAAGAGAUAAAGAGAAAACAGCUGGGCCCGAGGGACCACUACCAUCAAGACGCGGAGACCAGUAGUGGCCCUGAAUGGCUGGGCACACUGAUAUUUAUUGCAUACAAGACAAGGGGCGUAGGGUCAGGAGGGUGAAUCUUCUAAGUGAUUGACAAGGUGAAGCAAGUCACGUGAUCACAGCACAGGGGGCCCUUCCCUCUUAGGUAGCCGAAGCAGAGAGAGAGAAGGCAGCAUACGUCAGCGUUUUCUUCUAUGCACUUACAAGAAAGAUCAAAGACUGUAAGACUUUCACUAUUCCUUCUACCGCUAUCUACUACAAAUUUCAAAGAGGAACCAGGAGUACGGGAGGAACAUGAAAGUGACCAUUGGAGCACAGCACCACAAGGAGGGGUUUAGGCCUCCGGAUGACUGCGGCAGGCCUAGAUAAUAUCCAGCCUUCCACAAGAAGCUGGUGGAGCAGUGUUCCCUGACUCCUCCAAGGAAAGGAGACUCCCUUUCGCAGUCUGCUAAGUAACGGGCGCCUUCCCAGACACUGGCGUUACCGCUUGACCAAGGAGCCCUCAAGCUGCCCUUAUGCACGCGUUGACAGAGGGCUCACCUCUUGCCUUCUAGGUCACUUCUAACAAUGUCCCUUCAGCACCUGACCCUCUACCCGCCAGUUAUUCCUAGGUUAUGUUAGUAACGCAACAAAGAGUAAUAUUAAAAGCUAAUGAUUAAUAAUGUUUAUAAUAAUGAUUGAUAAUUGUCCAUGAUCAUCUCUAUAUCUAAUUUGUAUUAUGACUAUUCUUAUUCUAACUAUUUUCUUUAUUAUACUGAAACAGUUUGUGUCUUCAGUCUCUCACCUCGGCACCUGGGUAAUCCUCCGCCCACAGUCAAUAGGGGUCUGCAGCUGGGGCAAGGUCAGCGGGGAUCUGAUCAGUGAGACCUAGUCAGGUCUCACUGACUGACUAGGCCCUGGGGGUUGGGGCCUGGCCAGCAAGAGUCCAGUAGUUGGGGCGUGUUUGGCGAGGGUCUCAUGGUUGGGGUCUGGCCAGCGGGGGUCCCACAGUUGGGGCCUGGUGAGCAGAGAUCUGGCAGUUGCAGCCUCGUCCAUGGGGGUCUGGCAGUUGGGGCCUGGUCAGCGGGGUCUUAUAGUUGGGGCCUGUUUGGAGGGGGUCCAGCAGUUGGGGCCUGGUCAGAGGGGAUACGGCAGCUGGGGGUUAUUUGGCAGGGAUGCAGCAGCUGGGACCUGGUAGGUGGGGUCUGGCGGUUGGGGCCUGGUCAGUGAGGAUCAGAUCAGUGCGGUCUAGGCAGUGAGGUCUGGACGCUGGGCCUUCAUCUGCAUGGGUCUCGCAGUUGGGACCUGGUCAGCAGGGGUCUACCAGUUGGGGCCUGGUUGGCGGAAUCAGGCAGUUGGGACCUGGUUGUCGGGGGUCCAACAGUUGGGGCCUGGUCAAAGGGGAUCCAGCAGUUGGAACCUGGUCAGCAGGGCUCUGGCAGUUGGGGCCUGGUCAUUGGGGUCUGGCAGUUGGGGCCUGGUCAACAGGGGUCCAGGAGCUGAGGCCUGGUUGGUGGGCCGUCUAGCAGUUGAGGCCUGGUCAUCUGGGCCCGGCAUUUGGGGCCUGAUCGGCGGGGAUCAGAGCAGUGAGGCCUAGUCAGUGAGGUGUGGAUGUGGGGGCCUGGUAAGCAGGGGCCCAGCAGUUGGGGUCUGGUCAGCAGGGGUCUCAUAAGAAGAGGCCUGGUUGGCAAGGGUCUGGCAGUUGGGGCUCAGUCAGGAGGGGUCUAGGAGUUGGGGCCCAGUCAGUGGGGUCUGGCAGUUUGGGCUUGAUCAGUGCAGUCCAGCAGUUGUUGGGGCCUGGUCAGUGGGGGUCCAGUAGCUGGGACAUGGUCAGUGGAGUCCAGCGUCCGGGGCCUGGUUGGCAGGGGUCUGACAGUUGGCGCCUGGUUGGUGGGGAUCCCAUAGUUGGGGCCUGUCAGCAGGGAUCCAGCAUUUGGGGCCCAGUCAGUGGGGUUCAGCUUUUGGGGCCUGGUGAGUGGGGUUCAGCAUUUGGGGCCUGGCCAGCAGGGGUCCAGCAGUUGUUAGGGCCUGGUCAGCGGGGGUCUGAUUAGUGAGAUCUAUUUGGUGGGGUCCAUCAGUUGGGACCUAGUCAGUGAGGGCCGUGAGGGCCUUGUCAGUUGCAGCCUUGUUAUUGUGGCCUUUGUCAGUGGUGUCUGAUGAGCCAGGGCCUGGUCUGUGGGGCCCAGUCAGCAGGACCUGGUCAGUCCACAUCUGGUCAGUGGGACCUGGUCAUUGUGGGGGUGGUCAGCUAGGACCUGUUCAGUGGGAGCUUAACCAUUGGAAGCCUGGCCAGUGGGAUCCUGGGUGAUCUCAGGCCACGGGUUAGUCCUCGAAGCCUCCGUGAUUGCCUCCAUCCAUGGGGUGGGGGGUGAGUCACAGCACCCCAGUGGGCUUCUGGGAGGAGGAGGUGAGAGGGUGCAUUGCAUUGAAUCCAGCCCUGCCACACAGACCUGGCACUUUACACACUACGCGAGUCACCCCAAGGGGGAAGCCUGGCUUCUGCCCUCUGCCCUCUGCCCUCUGCCCUUUGCCCUAUGUCCCUGCCCCAUCUGCAUCCCCAGGACCACCCAGCAUGGAAAGAGCAGAGGCUGAGGAGCACCUAUGGGUGCUCUGAUGCUGGCCACAGGCCCGGGGGUGACAGUGACAGGGAUCCAGGUGCACACCUGAGUGGAGCAGCCAGGCCCAGCUGGAGGAGAGACGUGUUCACCCACACACAUGCAUCCUCACAUACACAGACAAAUUGCACGCAUACAUGUUGACCAUUAAGCGGGCAGAGGACGCUGACCCUGGGCCCUGCUGAGCCAGGUAGGGCCCCGUCAUGACAGAGGCUGUGAACCCAUGCUGUCACUGUGCCAAGUGCCGCCAGCCUACCUCCGUGUCAUGGAGCAGUUGGAGACACAGAGGUGCUGUAAGUGGUUGUGCAGAAAGGACCCUUUUCUGGGUGAGAAGCACAUCUCAGCACCGCUGCCUGAUCAGACUCAGGAAAGCGUGACCUGCUCUCUUCCCCCCUGCUGACUUGGGGACAGUCACAACCAGGAUGGACGUGGAGGAAGACGUGGCUACCCUACUUGCACAGGAGCAGGGGGCAUCAUUGCCCAGUGUGAGCAGCCCUUCACCUCAGCCCCCUCACUCUGGACCCCUCUGGGUCCCAGGGACGCUGUAGGGCCCAAGGAUGUGGACAGCUUACAAAGUUACCGAUCGCCUCGAGAUUCUGCAGUGAGUCCUCUGUCCCUGCUGCCCGACCAUCACCAAACUCACCUCAGAGGAUGAGUUUUGUUUUUAGAAAAGCCUCUCUGAGGCAGGACACGUCUUCCCAGCUUGGGCCAGCCUCCUUUCCAGGUGAGACGUAGCUGCCACCCAUCAGUGCCCUGGAAGUGAAGAGAAGACAUCAGGAGAUGAGGGACACAGAAAAAUGGCUCCAGGUGCUUCUCGACUGCCAGCGACAUAGGAGCGGCAAGGAGAGCAAGUAAUGACGCCCUCCUCCCAGACUUGCCCCAAAGCCCCCCAGAGCUUGGUGGUGUCCCAGGACGGUCCUCCCAGGAAACAUUUUGAAUAAGUUGCUGAAGUGCCUGAUGGACGUGGCUCUCGUCACGAAAUGAGUUUGGAUCCGAGAAGCCCUCUUCUUCAUCGGAAAACAGGCAGGGGUCCAAUUUCCCCUCCACCUGAACCCUGUCAGAGCCCUUCCAGCUGACGGCUCCACAUGUUGGGAGGGCCUCUCAUUUCAAGAUGGGUCAGGGGCUUCUCAGGAUUCUUUAGCCCAAACUGUGCCAGCCCACGAGGAGCACGUG
rnacentral:lncRNA from 10 species